rnacentral:rRNA from 1 species
AUUGAACGCUGGCGGCAGGCCUAACACAUGCAAGUCGAGCGAGCGGCGGACGGGUGAGUAAUGUAUGGGGACUGCCCGAUAGAGGGGGAUAACUACUGGAAACGGUGGCUAAUACCGCAUACUAUCGGAUAACCCAUAUGGGAUUAGCUAGUAGGUGGGGUAAAGGCUCACCUAGGCGACGAUCUCUAGCUGGUCUGAGAGGAUGAUCAGGCACACUGAGAUGGAGACAAGGCCCAUCCUCCGAUGGAGGCAGCAGAGGGGAAUAUUGCACAAUGGGCGCAGGCCGGAUGCAGCCAAGCCGCGUGGAUGAAGAAGGCCUUAGGGUUGUAAAGUACUUUCAGCGGGGAGGCGUUACCCGCAGAAGAAGCACCGGCUAACUCCGUGCCAGCCGCCGCGGUAAUUC